UAAUAUAUAUAUAUAUAUAUAUAUAUAUAUAUAUAUAUCUCGACCAAAUGUUAAUUUGGUUCUGUUUUUUUAUAUCUUUUUUUAUUUUCUUGAAGUCAAAUUAAAAGAAAUUGUUGGAAUUAAUAAUGCAGUGAGAUAGAUAUAUAUAUUAUAUAUAUAUAUAUAUAUAUAUAUAUAUAU